rnacentral:lncRNA from 1 species
GGUGCCGAAAGUCUUCCUUGGCGUCGCGGACGGAACCCGGCUCCCGUAGGAGUCCGGGUGAAGUCUUCCCUGGCGUCGUGGCCGGAAUCCGGCUCCCGUAGGAGUCCGGGUUAAGUCUUCCCUGGCAUCGUGGCUGGAACCCGGCUCUCGUAGGAGUCCGGGUGAAAUCUUCCUUGUGGACGGAAUCCGGCUCCCGUAGGAGUCCGGGUGAAGUCUUCCUUGUGGGCGGAACCCGACUCCCGUAGGAGUCCGGGUGAAGUCUUCCUUGUGGACGGAACCCGGCUCCCGUAGGAGUCCG